GACAGAGGGUGCAAACGUUGCUCGGAAUUACUGGGCGUAAAGCGCGUGUAGGCGGACGGGCAAGUCAGAUGUGAAAUCCCUGGGCUCAACUUAGGAAUUGCAUUUGAAACUGCUCGUCUCGAGUGUCGGAGAGGGAAGCGGAAUUCCUGGUGUAGAGGUGAAAUUCGUAGAUAUCAGGAGGAACACCGGUGGCGAAGGCGGCUUCCUGGACGACCACUGACGCUGAGACGCGAAAGCGUGGGGAGCAAACAGG
rnacentral:rRNA from 1 species